rnacentral:rRNA from 1 species
GAUGAACGCUGGCGGCGUGCCUAAUACAUGCAAGUCGAGCGAACGGACGAGAAGCUUGCUUCUCUGAUGUUAGCGGCGGACGGGUGAGUAACACGUGGAUAACCUACCUAUAAGACUGGGAUAACUUCGGGAAACCGGAGCUAAUACCGGAUAAUAUUUUGAACCGCAUGGUUCAAAAGUGAAAGACGGUCUUGCUGUCACUUAUAGAUGGAUCCGCGCUGCAUUAGCUAGUUGGUAAGGUAACGGCUUACCAAGGCAACGAUGCAUAGCCGACCUGAGAGGGUGAUCGGCCACACUGGAACUGAGACACGGUCCAGACUCCUACGGGAGGCAGCAGUAGGGAAUCUUCCGCAAUGGGCGAAAGCCUGACGGAGCAACGCCGCGUGAGUGAUGAAGGUCUUCGGAUCGUAAAACUCUGUUAUUAGGGAAGAACAUAUGUGUAAGUAACUGUGCACAUCUUGACGGUACCUAAUCAGAAAGCCACGGCUAACUACGUGCCAGCAGCCGCGGUAAUACGUAGGUGGCAAGCGUUAUCCGGAAUUAUUGGGCGUAAAACGCGCGUAGGCGGUUUUUUAAGUCUGAUGUGAAAGCCCACGGCUCAACCGUGGAGGGUCAUUGGAAACUGGAAAACUUGAGUGCAGAAGAGGAAAGUGGAAUUCCAUGUGUAGCGGUGAAAUGCGCAGAGAUAUGGAGGAACACCAGUGGCGAAGGCGACUUUCUGGUCUGUAACUGACGCUGAUGUGCGAAAACGUGGGGAUCAAACAGGAUUAGAUACCCUGGUAGUCCACGCCGUAAACGAUGAGUGCUAAGUGUUAGGGGGUUUCCGCCCCUUAGUGCUGCAGCUAACGCAUUAAGCACUCCGCCUGGGGAGUACGACCGCAAGGUUGAAACUCAAAGGAAUUGACGGGGACCCGCACAAGCGGUGGAGCAUGUGGUUUAAUUCGAAGCAACGCGAAGAACCUUACCAAAUCUUGACAUCCUUUGACAACUCUAGAGAUAGAGCCUUCCCCUUCGGGGGACAAAGUGACAGGUGGUGCAUGGUUGUCGUCAGCUCGUGUCGUGAGAUGUUGGGUUAAGUCCCGCAACGAGCGCAACCCUUAAGCUUAGUUGCCAUCAUUAAGUUGGGCACUCUAAGUUGACUGCCGGUGACAAACCGGAGGAAGGUGGGGAUGACGUCAAAUCAUCAUGCCCCUUAUGAUUUGGGCUACACACGUGCUACAAUGGACAAUACAAAGGGCAGCGAAACCGCGAGGUCAAGCAAAUCCCAUAAAGUUGUUCUCAGUUCGGAUUGUAGUCUGCAACUCGACUACAUGAAGCUGGAAUCGCUAGUAAUCGUAGAUCAGCAUGCUACGGUGAAUACGUUCCCGGGUCU